GAUGAACGCUGGCGGCGUGCCUAAUACAUGCAAGUCGAGCGAACGGACGAGAAGCUUGCUUCUCUGAUGUUAGCGGCGGACGGGUGAGUAACACGUGGAUAACCUACCUAUAAGACUGGGAUAACUUCGGGAAACCGGAGCUAAUACCGGAUAAUAUUUUGAACCGCAUGGUUCAAAAGUAAAAGACGGUCUUGCUGUCACUUAUAGAUGGAUCCGCGCUGCAUUAGCUAGUUGGUAAGGUAACGGCUUACCAAGGCAACGAUGCAUAGCCGACCUGAGAGGGUGAUCGGCCACACUGGAACUGAGACACGGUCCAGACUCCUACGGGAGGCAGCAGUAGGGAAUCUUCCGCAAUGGGCGAGAGCCUGACGGAGCAACGCCGCGUGAGUGAUGAAGGUCUUCGGAUCGUAAAACUCUGUUAUUAGGGAAGAACAUAUGUGUAAGUAACUGUGCACAUCUUGACGGUACCUAAUCAGAAAGCCACGGCUAACUACGUG
rnacentral:rRNA from 1 species